GGGGGAGGUCUGGGACCAAACAUGACUGGACAGUCUGGACUUCGCACUCAUUUUCCGUUGGGCGCUUUUCCAAGCAAUAGCAUCCAGCAUCCCAAUCCUUUCAUCCCACUCAUGCCCGAGUUGAACCGUUCCGGCUCUGCUCGGCUAAUAAAGCGGAUUGGUCUGGCCCGUCACUUUACCCGGUUUUCAAACCAUUGCUUUCUUGCUCUGCAGCCUGUAGUCCCUGUACUACUGCGGAGGCGUCUGCAUACACCUUUCGCCUCCGAAAAAAGAGCGGAGAUCAGUAUAGUAAUGGCGUCUGAGAGGCGAGAGGGGGCCGAACAACAAAAUCAACAACAUCAAACUCCGAGGUUGCAGAUAUACUCCAACCCUUGUUCUGGAGUCUCCCCUUUCUGGAGAGAGAAGUAUGAAAGGGAUGCUAAGAAGUACUGGGAUGUCUUCUACAAGCGACAUCAGGAUAAAUUCUUCAAGGAUCGGCACUACUUGGGCAAGGAAUGGGGUCAUUAUUUCCAUGGAGAAGGAAGGAAAGUUGUUUUGGAGGUAACUCGGUCAGAUUCUCUUAUGAAGGUUGGCUGUGGCGCUGGAAACACUAUCUUUCCUCUGGUUGCAACAUACCCAGAAAUUUUCGUUCAUGCAUGUGAUUUCUCACCACGUGCCAUUGACUUGGUGAAGACACAUAAAGACUUCAUGGAGGAUCAAAUCAAUGCAUUCAUUUGUGAUUUGACAGUUGAUGACUUAAGCAAGCAGAUCCCACCAUCUUCAGUUGACAUUGUAACCAUGAUUUUCAUGUUAUCUGCAGUAUCUCCAGAAAAAAUGCCUCUAGUAUUGCAGAACAUCAGAAAAGUUAUUAAACCAAAUGGUCAUGUGCUGCUCAGAGAUUAUGCUGUGGGAGACCUUGCUCAGGAAAGGUUUACCUGCAAGGAUCAGAAGAUAAGUGAGAAUUUUUAUGUCAGGGGUGAUGGUACUCGUGCCUUUUACUUUUCUGAGGAGUUCUUAACGAGUUUGUUCAAAGAAAGUGGAUUUGAUGUUGAAGACCUUGGUUUAUGCUGCAAACAAGUUGAGAAUCGUUCGCGGGAACUAGUCAUGAAUCGGCGGUGGAUCCAGGCUGUAUUUUGCUUCUCUGAUGGUUCAAAUCCUUCUUAUAUUUUGGAAUCUGGGAAUGGGCCAGAUGUCCUCAAUGCAUCUAAAUUCAACAAUGUCAACAGCAAAAAGGAAUCUGCAAAUGAUCUUGACAUUGACAUUUCUGAUGGUAUUGUUGCUGAAAUGUUUGGUAUUUCACCAUCUAUGGAUGAGAUUGUUGAGGUAGAUCUGAGAGAGUUCAGCUUCAGGAUAAGAAGACUGCCCAAGGAAUACCAGCACACCUGCAAAUCCACAGGCUUGAUGGUGUGGGAGUCAGCUCAUCUGAUGUCUUCUGUGCUAGUGGAAAAUCCUUCUAUUGUCACAGGGAAAACAGUGCUCGAGUUGGGUUCUGGCUGUGCAGGAAUCUGUUCAAUGGUUGCUGUUAGAUCUGCGGACCUAGUAAUUGCUACUGAUGGAGAUAUGCAAGCGCUGGACCUGUUACAACAGAAUGUGGCAUUGAAUCUUGAACCACCAUUGCUCAAUAAACUGGUGACAAGGAGAUUGGAAUGGGGAAAUAGGGAUCACAUUGAGGCCAUCAAGAAAUUAAACCAUAGAGGAUUUGAAGUCAUUAUAGGCACCGAUGUGACAUAUGUGCCUGAAUCUAUCACACCAUUGUUUGCAACUGCAAGGGAGUUGGUUUCUUCUAAUGGAGGUAUCAAGGAGGAUAUGAAACCAGCUCUAAUUCUCUGCCAUGUUUUACGGAGAGUUGAUGAGGUAUCCAUUCUUUCAACUGCAUCUCAAUUCGGUUUCAAGCUUGUUGAUAGAUGGCCCAUUGGGAUAGAAACUGAGCCAUGCCAAAGAAUCAUUGGCUCUUGGUUCUCAAAUACCAAAUUAUUGGCAACUUUCCAAAGUACAGCAUUGAACAUCAUGUACUUCAACAUCUAGGUUGAACAGCAUGUAAGAGAAUCAAAAUGCCGUUUAAACUGGCAGAUCACAAGGCCGCUUCAGGGGGAGAUUAUUGAUUUGAUUGUGGGGAAUUUGCUGAAUCAUGAGCAAUCCACAGAAUAAACUAUUUAGAUUGAUGAAAAAUAUACCACUCCGAACAUUUUCCUUCAACUCAUGGUUUCAAUUAUCACACAGACCGUUAAAUAAAGUCAGUUCAUCUCGUGGAUGAAACUCGCAACUUGGGUUAAAUUUGUUAACAAUGUCUUACUUCAUCUCUGU